AGUCGAACGGCAGCGCGGGGCAACCUGGCGGCGAGUGGCGAGCGGGUGAGUAAUAUAUCGGAACGUACCCAAGAGUGGGGGAUAACGUAGCGAAAGUUACGCUAAUACCGCAUACGAUCUAAGGAUGAAAGCAGGGGAUCUUCGGACCUUGUGCUCCUGGAGCGGCCGAUAUCUGAUUAGCUAGUUGGUGAGGUAAAGGCUCACCAAGGCCACGAUCAGUAGCUGGUCUGAGAGGACGACCAGCCACACUGGAACUGAGACACGGUCCAGACUCCUACGGGAGGCAGCAGUGGGGAAUUUUGGACAAUGGGCGAAAGCCUGAUCCAGCAAUGCCGCGUGAGUGAAGAAGGCCUUCGGGUUGUAAAGCUCUUUUGUCAGGGAAGAAACGGUGAGGGCUAAUAUCCCUCGCUAAUGACGGUACCUGAAGAAUAAGCACCGGCUAACUACGUGCCAGCAGCCGCGGUAAUACGUAGGGUGCAAGCGUUAAUCGGAAUUACUGGGCGUAAAGCGUGCGCAGGCGGUUUUGUAAGUCUGACGUGAAAUCCCCGGGCUCAACCUGGGAAUUGCGUUGGAGACUGCAAGGCUAGAAUCUGGCAGAGGGGGGUAGAAUUCCACGUGUAGCAGUGAAAUGCGUAGAGAUGUGGAGGAACACCGAUGGCGAAGGCAGCCCCCUGGGUCAGGAUUGACGCUCAUGCACGAAAGCGUGGGGAGCAAACAGGAUUAGAUACCCUGGUAGUCCACGCCCUAAACGAUGUCUACUAGUUGUCGGGUUUUAAUUAACUUGGUAACGCAGCUAACGCGUGAAGUAGACCGCCUGGGGAGUACGGUCGCAAGAUUAAAACUCAAAGGAAUUGAC
rnacentral:rRNA from 1 species